rnacentral:rRNA from 1 species
UAAGACCUUGCGCUAUUGGAUGAGCCGAAGUCGGAUUAGCUAGUUGGUGAGGUAACGGCUCACCAAGGCGACAAUCCGUAGCUGGUCUGAGAGGACGACCAGCCACACUGGGACUGAGACACGGCCCAGACUCCUACGGGAGGCAGCAGUGGGGAAUAUUGGACAAUGGGGGCAACCCUGAUCCAGCGACGCCGCGUGUGUGAAGAAGGCCUGCGGGUUGUAAAGCACUUUUAGUGGGGAUGAAAAGCUCAGGGCUAAUACCUCUGGGUCUUGACCUAACCUACAGAAAAAGCACCGGCUAACUCUGUGCCAGCAGCCGCGGUAAUACAGAGGGUGCGAGCGUUAAUCGGAAUUACUGGGCGUAAAGCGUGCGUAGACGGUUUCGUAAGUCGGAUGUGAAAUCCCCGGGCUCAACCUGGGAAUU